AUAACAUUUAGAGCGUCGGUCUACCGAGCAAUAUCACCGGCUCGGUGGAGGAUGUCUCCUUUGUCGU
rnacentral:pre_miRNA from 1 species